rnacentral:rRNA from 1 species
UACGAAGGGUGCAAGCGUUACUCGGAAUUACUGGGCGUAAAGCGUGUGUAGGCGGAUCGUUAAGUGUCUUGUGAAAUCCCACGGCUCACCCGUGGAACUGCUGGGCAUACUGGCGAUCUUGGGCCAACUAGGGGCAGUCGGAACAAGCGGUGGAGCGGUGAAAUGCGUAGAUAUCGCUUGGAACGCCGAAGGUGAAAACAGACUGCUGGGGUUGCGCCGACGCUGAGACACGAAAGCCAGGGGAGCAAACGGG